rnacentral:rRNA from 1 species
GUCCACGCCGUAAACGAUGGAUACUAGCUGUCCGGCCUGCAUUGGUAGGCUGGGUGGCCAAGCGAAAGUGAUAAGUAUCCCACCUGGGGAGUACGUUCGCAAGAAUGAAACUCAAAGGAAUUGACGGGGGGCCCGCACAAGCGGUGGAGCAUGUGGUUUAAUUCGAUGAUACGCGAGGAACCUUACCAGGGCUUAAAUGUAGUCUGACAGAUUUGGAAACAGAUCCUUCUUCGGACAGAUUACAAGGUGCUGCAUGGUUGUCGU